GAUGAACGCUGGCGGCGUGCCUAAUACAUGCAAGUCGAGCGAACAGACGAGGAGCUUGCUCCUCUGACGUUAGCGGCGGACGGGUGAGUAACACGUGGAUAACCUACCUAUAAGACUGGGAUAACUUCGGGAAACCGGAGCUAAUACCGGAUAAUAUAUUGAACCGCAUGGUUCAAUAGUGAAAGACGGUUUUGCUGUCACUUAUAGAUGGAUCCGCGCCGCAUUAGCUAGUUGGUAAGGUAACGGCCUACCAAGGCAACGAUGCGUAGCCGACGUGAGAGGGUGGUCGGCCACACUGGAACUGAGACACGGUCCAGACUCCUACGGGAGGCAGCAGUAGGGAAUCUUCCGCAAUGGGCGAAAGCUUGACGGAGCAACGCCGCGUGAGUGAUGAAGGUCUUCGGAUCGUAAAGCUCUGUUAUUAGGGAAGAACAAAUGUGUAAGUAACUAUGCACGUCUUGACGGUACCUAAUCAGAAAGCCACGGCUAACUACGUG
rnacentral:rRNA from 1 species